rnacentral:sRNA from 1 species
UGCGCCUGUGGCGGAUGCAGCAUGACUCGCGAAAGAAGGCUUUGCAGGCAGCCUGGUCAUGUACCAUCUUGUAUUUCAGCGACUCGCUGAAUCAAAAGCGUUC